rnacentral:lncRNA from 1 species
UUUUUUUUCCUCUCUCUUUUUCUCAGCUAUAGCAUUGAGAUCACAGAAAUAUUUGACCUGGGACACAGAGUUUACUGCAAUUGACUUAAAAUUAAAGACUUGUUGAUUUCUAGCUUGUAGUAACAGACAGUUUGCUGAACUGUUCUGUUCCUAGUGUGAAGAAAGAAAGAAACGAGGCAAGAAAGAAAAGGAGAAAGAAAGGAAGAAAACCCUACCAUGACAGAAAAUAACCAUGAUGUCAUUACUGAUGUCAUACAUGGAAGAAGUAAAGCUCCAAGAAGUUCAAGAGUCUCACCUGGUGACACAACAGGCUGUCAACAAGCUAGGUCUGACGCCAUGACCCUCCUCCCCGUGGACUUCCAGGGGGGCCAAGUGUCCUUCAGUUCACAAGAUCUGACUGGGUCUCAUGAAAUAAGAACCACACUUAGGCUCAGAGGUUGUGGAAAUUGGCAAUGGUGCUUUAAUUCAAGAAUUCCAGCUCAACUCCCACACUCCACACUGUGGGGCACUGAAGUUAAUGACCUCUUUGAAGUCUUUCGUAGCUGCAUACGCUUGCAGACUAGCAUGGAAGGCCAUGCUUUACACUAGACGUGUCAUUUCUAGCAGAUAGCUUCAGCCUUACCUCCAUUGCCAGCUUACCUGCUGAUCACCCUGAUGCCAAGAAAAGACUUGAA